AUUGAACGCUGGCGGCAGGCCUAACACAUGCAAGUCGAGCGAACGGCUGACGGGUGAGUAAUGUCUGGUAAACUGCCUGAUGGAGGGGGAUAACUACUUGACACGGUAGCUAAUACCACAUACUAUCAGAUGUGCCCAUAUGGGCUUAGCUCGUAGGUGGUGUAAUGGCUCACCUAGUCGACGAUCCCUAGCUGGUCUGAGAGGAUGGCCCGCCACACUGGAACUGAGACACGGGCCAAACUCCUACGGGAGGCAGCAGUGGGGAAUCUUGCACAAUGGGGGAAAGCCUGAUGGAGCCACGCCGCGUGUGUGAAGAAGGCCUUCGGGUUGUAAAGUGCUUUCAGCGGGGAGGCGGUAACCGAAGAAAAAGCAACGGCUAACUCCGUGCCAGCAGCCGCGGUAAUUC
rnacentral:rRNA from 1 species